rnacentral:rRNA from 1 species
GGAUUGAACGCUGGCGGCAUGCCUAACACAUGCAAGUCGAACGGGAGUAGCAAUACUCUAGUGGCGGACGGGUGAGGAAUACGUAGGAAUUUGCCCUUAAGUGGGGGGGUAACCCGGGAAACCCGGAUUAAUACCGCAUGACCUCGAAAGAGCAAAGUGGGGGAUCGCAAGACCUCACGCUUUUGGAGAAGCCUACGUCGGAUUAGGCUAGUUGGUGAGGUAAUGGCUCACCAGGCGACGAUCCGUAACUGGUACUGAGAGGAUGAUCAGUCCACGACCGGAACUGGAGACGACGGUCCGACUCCGUAGGGACGGCAGC